GCCCGGGUAGCCCAACAGGCAGAGGCGGCCGAUCAGACUCAGAUUCUCGCUCGAAGCUCAGCAUUGCCGUCGAGUGCCAGAUCGACCCAGGACGGGCUGUGAUCGUUGAGAUGCCGGUUCGAAUCCGGCCCGGGGUUCCA
rnacentral:tRNA from 1 species